rnacentral:rRNA from 1 species
GUUGGCGGGGUAACGGCCCACCAAGGCGACGAUGCCUAGGGGUUCUGAGAGGAAGGUCCCCCACACUGGUACUGAGACACGGACCAGACUCCUACGGGAGGCAGCAGUGAGGAAUAUUGGUCAAUGGGCGUAAGCCUGAACCAGCCAAGUCGCGUGAGGGACGACGGCCCUACGGGUUGUAAACCUCUUUUGCCGGGGGACAAACGGCGGCACGCGUGCCGUCACUGAGGGUACCCGGAGAAAAAGCAUCGGCUAACUCCGUGCCAGCAGCCGCGGUAAUACGGAGGAUGCGAGCGUUAUCCGGAUUUAUUGGGUUUAAAGGGUGCGUAGGCGGGAUGCCAAGUCAGCGGUCAAAUACGGGGGCUCAACCUGCGUCCGCCGUUGAAACUGGCGUUCUUGAGUGGGCGAGAAGUACGCGGAAUGCGUGGUGUAGCGGUGAAAUGCAUAGAUAUCACGCAGAACCCCGAUUGCGAAGGCAGCGUACCGGCGCCCGACUGACGCUGAAGCACGAAAGCGUGGGUAUCGAACAGGAUUAGAUACCCUGGUAGUCCACGCAGUAAACGAUGAACACUA